AAGGAUUGCCAACCCAAUAGAAAGACCACCUAUGAUAUCAAUCAAACUGUGCAUGCCAAGAUAAACUCUUCCCAAACCAAUGAAGCCCACAAGCAAGCAAACAAUGGCAAAUCCAGCAAACUCGACACAGAAAUCUUGAUUUUGGGUAUAAGACAGGACAUAGUGCAAUAGGUACCCAGAUAAGCAAACAGUGUUAAGAGUGUGGGAAGAAGGCAAUCCGUACUCCAAAGCGUUAUCUUCCUCAUCUUUUGUGGCAGUUAUUCUUCUAACAGGAGGACACUUGGGUCUAGGAGCUGAUACCACAUCCUUUAUGCAAUUCCCUGCAUAAUCACAGAAAGCCAUUAGAA
rnacentral:misc_RNA from 1 species